rnacentral:rRNA from 1 species
AUUGAACGCUAGCGGGAUGCCUUACACAUGCAAGUCGAACGGUGUGGCCAACGGGUGAGUAAUGUAUCGGAACGUGCCCAGUCGCGGGGGAUAACUACGCGUAAACGUAGCUAAUACCGCAUACUAUUGGAGCGGCCGAUAUCGGAUUAGCGAGGUGGUGGGGUAACGGCUCACCACGGCGACGAUCCGUAGCUGGCUUGAGAGGACGACCAGCCACACUGGGACUGAGACACGGCCCAGACUCCUACGGGAGGCAGCAGGAGGGAAUUUUGGACAAUGGGGGAAAGCCUGAUCCAGCAAUCCCGCGUGUGCGAUGAAGGCCUUCGGGUUGUAAAGCACUUUUAGCAGGAAAGCGGUACCUGCAGAAAAAGCACCGGCUAACUACGUGCCAGCAGCCGCGGUAAUAC